GGUUAAGCGACUAAGCGUACACGGUGGAUGCCCUGGCAGUCAGAGGCGAUGAAGGGCGUGCUAAUCUGCGAUAAGCGCCGGUAAGGUGAUAUGAACCGUUAUAACCGGCGAUACCCGAAUGGGGAAACCCAGUGUGACUCGUCACACUAUCAUUAACUGAAUCCAUAGGUUAAUGAGGCGAACCGGGGGAACUGAAACAUCUAAGUACCCCGAGGAAAAGAAAUCAACCGAGAUUCCCCCAGUAGCGGCGAGCGAACGGGGAGGAGCCCAGAGCCUGAAUCAGCAUGUGUGUUAGUGGAAGCGUCUGGAAAGACGCGCGAUACAGGGUGACAGCCCCGUACACAAAAGCGUAUGUGCUGUGAGCUCGAUGAGUAGGGCGGGACACGUGGUAUCCUGUCUGAAUAUGGGGGGACCAUCCUCCAAGGCUAAAUACUCCUGACUGACCGAUAGUGAACCAGUACCGUGAGGGAAAGGCGAAAAGAACCCCGGCGAGGGGAGUGAAAAAGAACCUGAAACCGUGUACGUACAAGCAGUGGGAGCACAGGUUUACCUGUGUGACUGCGUACCUUUUGUAUAAUGGGUCAGCGACUUAUAUUCUGUAGCAAGGUUAACCGAAUAGGGGAGCCGGAGGGAAACCGAGUCUUAAUUGGGCGUUAAGUUGCAGGGUAUAGACCCGAAACCCGGUGAUCUAGCCAUGGGCAGGUUGAAGGUUGGGUAACACUAACUGGAGGACCGAACCGACUAAUGUUGAAAAAUUAGCGGAUGACCUGUGGCUGGGGGUGAAAGGCCAAUCAAACCGGGAGAUAGCUGGUUCUCCC
rnacentral:rRNA from 1 species